rnacentral:rRNA from 1 species
GACGAACGCUGGCGGCGUGCUUAACACAUGCAAGUCGAACGGGCCUGUCUUCUUUUUUGGGGGGUGGGUUGAGUGGCGAACGGGUGAGUAUCACGUGAGUAACCUGCCCUUCGGUCCUGGAUAACCGCUUGAAAGGGCGGCUAAUACGGGGUGGUCCGGUUGGUCCGCAUGGGCUGGUCGGGAUAGAUUCACUGUUUUUGGUGUUUCGGCGGGGGAUGGGCUCGCGGCCUAUCAGCUUGUUGGUGGGGUGGUGGCCUACCAAGGCGGGGACGGGUAGCCGGCCUGGGGGGGUGGGCGGCGACACUGGGACUGGGAUACGGCCCAGACUCCUGCGGGAGGCAGCAGUGGGGGGUAGUGCACAAUGGGCGGAAGCCUGAUGCAGCGACGUCGCGUGAGGGAUGGAGGCCUUCGGGUUGUGAACCUCUGUUUCCGGUGGUGAAGGCCCUGUCCGUGUGGUGGGGUUGACGGUAGCCGGGGAUGAAGCGCCGGCUAACUACGUG